rnacentral:lncRNA from 1 species
UUACUAUCAAUAAUAAAAGAAACCGGCUAAAUAGCCACAAUUUAAGUAGUGAAUCCUCACUAUUUUUAGGGACUUGCUUAUAGCUCUUAAUCCAAACUUGGUGACACACAUUCUUACAAUUUCCUUUAACUCCCUUGAACCCAUCAUCGGAAGCCCCAAUGGGUUGGUCUGCAAAUAAUGCCAAGUUUGUAUAGUUUUUUCCCUGCAAUAUUGAGGAUUCAAUGGAGGCCACAUUGUGUUUGAAUAUUUGGAAGUGUUUUUCGUGCUCUACAUCAUCCUUGCAGACCUUUCCAUAUUAUGUCAUCCAGAGCUUGUAUCUUUCUGCUAAUGAUGCAUCAUCAACUUGGUCUUGGAUGCCAUGGGACAAAUAUCCAAAUUCCUAUUAGUAUGUUGAUUAGAGUACAAAGGUGCUUGUUUUGUUCUAUCAAACCCUAAAAGUGUUUGGCUACGCACUUCCAACUUGUGGUAGUAUUUUUUUGGUACAAUCAGUAUUUUUUGUAGCAUAUAGACACUAUAAAUUUUCUAUGUGAAAGAAGGUAAUGUGCGAUAAGUUUUUUUGUGUUUGUAAUGCGAAAAUUAUAUCAAAUAUAUUUUCAUUGUGAAGACGCCUUUUUUCAGUGGAGAAGGGACUCUAAUUUUUUUUUUUUUUUUUUUUUUUUUUUUUUGGUUUGGAUGACAAAUUGAUGUACUUAAAUUGAGACUCUAUUGGAAUACAUUACACAAUGUGGAGUUCUGUUAUCUGUGAUAAACAUCAGGUUGGUGCGCCCCAGAAUGUUUGUAUAAUAGAAUUUUGAUUAUUACCUACAUUUAGCUCCACUAUAUUUGAAAAUUUAGACUCCGGUCAUUUGCCUAAUGUAAUUAGGAAAGUCAUCUAGGAUAAGCGUCACUUUUUUUUUUCU